GGGGCUGUCUUGGUUUCGACAUUUAAAAUUGGGAAAAAUGUGAUGCAGGUCGAAGCUUGUAUUCUUCGUAAAAAUCUACAAUCAAAUAUAAUAAAUGCUAAUAAUAUCUUAUCUUUUAAUUUCAAAAAUUUAAUUUUAAACAAUAGUAAGUUCUCAAAUAAUUUAGUUUUUGCUGUUGCUUAAAAAAUAUAUUAUUUAAUUUCAAAAAUUUUUCACUAUGACUAGACGUUUUUUUGUCUAUAGUUUAGAAUAACUAUUAUAAUAUGUUCUUUUUUAGAACUAUACCUGUGAAUGAGCUUUUUUUUCACUUUUAGAUGGACGUGGGUUCAAUUCCCAUCAGCUCCA
rnacentral:tmRNA from 1 species